rnacentral:lncRNA from 1 species
UUUUUUUUUUUUUUUUGAGUUGCAAAGUGAGAUUUUAUUUAUUUAUUUUCCAUUAUAGAUGGUUUACAGUGUUCUGUCAGUUUUCUACUGCAUAGCCAGGUGACCCCCAGUCACACACACAAAUAUACAUUCUUUUUCUCACAUUAUCAUGUUCCAUCAUAAGUGACUGGAUAUAGUUCCCAGUGCUACACAGCAGGAUCUCAUUGCUUAUCCAUUCCAAAGGCAAUAGUUCUUUAAAGAAGCCAUGGUCCUUCCCAUGACAGCCUUUACACAUUCUAGAACGCUCUACCUCUCUGCCACUGUCUCCUGCAAUCUCCAGCUUCCUCGUUAAUGCCUUGUUGCCCUUCAGAAACAAUUCAGUCACUUCCUGAGAGAAGCCUUCCCUGAGCAUCGCCCCCUCCAAGCUGAGACCCCCCCCCCUUUCAUACCAGCCUGUAAUUCCCAGUCAUUGCAAUUACGGCAAUUUAAUCAAAUAAUUUGAUGCCCCCCUCAUUAUUUGGUAUUUUUGUCCAAUGAGACUAUAUGUUCUAUAAAGCCUGAGACUGUAUCUGACUUACAUCCCUACAUACCUGUCCUGAGCAGCACCUUGCACUGAAUAAAACAGGUGGCCAAUAAAAGGAUAACUAGGGGUGCAAAGGAGAAAAUACAGAUAAGGCAGAUGUAGACAAGGAAAAAAUAUGACUGAAUUCCAUCAAGAACGGUUCUACUGGAAAAGGUACAACCUUCCACUUAUAAAUAAGUACUAGGGAUGCAAUGUACGUGAUAAACAUAAUUAACGCUGCCUUAUGUUAUAUAAGAAGGCUGUUGAGAGAGUAAAUUCUAAGAGUCCUCAUCACAAGAAAAAAAAACAAACUUUUUUUCUAUUUAAUUUUGUAUGAGAUGAUGGGCAUUUACAAAGCUUAUCAUGAUAACCGCUUCCCGAUGUGUGUAAAUCAAAGCAUUAUACUGUACACUUUAAACUUAUAUAGUGCUCUGUGUCAACUACGCCUGAGUACAACUAGAAGGGGAAAAUGUUCUGCUGGAACACAAAAACUGGGGAAGAAAGUUUGAGUUCAAACCUUUCCUUUUAACCUACUUAUAUAUACAGACAGACACAAGCCUGAUUAGUGAUUUGGACCUGAUGUGAACUAUUUAUAUUUCAAACUUAGUCUCCCAAAGGAAGCUCACCAGAUAUGAUGUUUAUUUUUCAGAGCUCCUGAAGAAACUCUCUUUCACCAUGCUCUUCCAGCUCCCAGAGAGAAAAGGAGAAGGUGAUGCAUAAGAAGGAAAACAGAAGAAAGGGCAAAGUGGGAAGAGAACCCACAACACCAUGUCUGUUUGGACUUUGGCUGCAGAAUUUGUGUUUUGUUUUGCUCAUGUACCAAGUACCUGUCAUGCAGCACUGCUCAUACCUUUAUCAUUCUGGGUCCCAUUGUGGAUGAGAGUCAAUAUUUGUGCCCAUUUUGUUUACUGAUGUGUCCCCACCACCCAAACGCUAAUAGAUACUUGAUAAAUAUUUGCUAAAUGAAUGAUUUCAGAUGUGAGAGCUAUAGGAGGAUGAGAACAACAUCUUUCCAACUUUGUAGCCCCAGAGUUUGUGGGAAUCCAAAAAACAGCUACCAAAAUAAAUGAUUUAAGAAUAAAUAUGUAAGUUACAGUAAUUCUGCUCUGCCCCAUGCUUUCCAUUUAGUUAAAUGCAUUCUUUUGUUUGGGGAGUUCACAUGAGCAUGAUUUUACCAAGUUCUAGGGAGGAAUGGUGUCUCUCUUUUUUUUUUUUUAAAUCUUUUUAGGGCCACGCUAGCGGCAUAUGGAGGUUCCCAGGCUAGGGUCUAAUCAGAGCUAUAGCCUCCAGCCUACACCACAGCCACAGCAAUGCCAGAUCCGAGCCACAUCUCAACCUACACCAAAGCUCAUGGCAACGCUGGAUCCUUAAUCCACUGAGCGAGGCCAGGAAUCGAAUCCACAACCUUAUGGUUCCUAGUCGGAUUCGUCUCCGCUGUGCCAUGAAGGGAACUCCCAUAUAUUUUUUUUUCCAAUAGCUGGAUUCUCUGGGUCACCCCCAUGACAGUGCCAAGUAUCCACACUGAGUCUCGAUUCCAUGGUGGAAAAGUACGAGGAAUACCUAUAAUAAAUAAGUAAAUACAUAAAUAAAUAUCCUGCCUUAAAAAUCAAUAAAAAGAUGCCUUGGUUACCAUCAAGUAAACAUUUUAGACCCCAAUGUACAUGCAGGGGCUCUAACAGGUGCCAGGAACACGAAGAGAAAUGGGUCAGAUUUCCACAUACUUCAUGAGCUCUGAGUCUAUGAAUAAGAUUGAUGGGCAAGCAAAAUAAAAAAACAACACAGUGUGAUAAACGAUAUAACAGAGGCACCUGCUAAGCGUCAACGAGGGCACAGAGGAGGCAUGAAAUAAAAGAAACCCGAAGUAAAGUUUUAAUUAGUUGCCAAAAAAAGUCUUUGGUCAUCUCUGCCAAGAAUAAAACAGUGCUACGCUGCUGCCUGUAGUCGUGAUCCCAAAGGAGCCAGGGUUCAUCCUGAAUCUUCCAUGGAUGGAAGCCCAGAGAAGAAAGGGCUCUGAAAUCCUGACAAAAGGCCUAAGGGUCUGUACCUAGCAAUGCUGACCACGACAGUUAAAACCUGAAGCCAGUCCCCUGGAGAGGAAAAGCCUUGCCCUUUAGUGAAGCUGCCAAAAAACCUCCAAAGUUAGCAGUUUGUACUGUGUCUUUCUGUCGACACUGAAAAAUGAGUGGGGACAUCUAAAGGUCCUAUCAGGGCCAGGAGAGCUUUCAAGGCACCCAACACUAACAGAGAUAUUAAAAAUAUACAAACAUAAGGAAACCACACUUGAAAAUCAUAAUGGAAGGGUGUUUUUGGUUUUUUAUCUUAUUUAUAGGGCCACGCCCAUGGCAUAUGGAAGUUCCCAGGGUAGGGAUCACAUCAGAGCUGGAGCCACCGGCCUAUGCCACAGCCACAGAGACACCGGAUCUAAACUGCGUUUGCCACCGCAGGUCAUAGCAACACUGGAUCCUCAACCCACUGAUCGAGGCCAGGAAUGAACCCACAUCCUCAUGGAUAUUAAUUGGGUUCUUAACCUGCUGAGCCACAACAGGAACUCCCAUAAUGAAAAGGUUUAGGUGUGUAUGAAACAAGCUACAUAACAGAGCAUUUGGCAGCCAUUAUAAACAUACAUAAUUUAAAUGACAUGGGAAUUCCUUAUGACACUCUAAAUAAGCAAAGCAAAAUAGCUGGCCAUUAUAUUAAAUUGUUUGUAUAGGCAUCUAUUAUAUAUGAAAUUAUGUAUGGAAAAAGACUUGCACCCCCAAGCAAGUCUAGAAAGCAUGAAUAAAAUGAGGCGUGCAUACAUCUGAAAUAUGCAAGAUGAUGAAGGGUAUAGGGAAAGAAAUUAGUGGAAGAGUUGGAGAGGUUUGGUGGGGGUUUUUUGGGGGGGGGCUUUUUUAAACUUUAAUUUUUUUAAUUUUUAAAAAUGUUUUUCC